rnacentral:rRNA from 1 species
AUCAAUAAGCGGAGGAAAAGCAACUAACCAGGAUUCCCCCAGUAACGGCGAGCGAAGCGGGAAUAGCUCGAGCAGGCAAUCUCUGGCGUCGAUCGCCAGCGAAUUGUGGCCGGCAGAGGCGGGUGCACCCGAGACGACUCCGUCGAAGUUGACCUGGAAAGGCACGUCGGAGAGGGUGAUAGCCCCGUGCGGGGCGGAGUCGUCGAGGGCCGCUACCGUCUUCGGAGAGUCGGGUUGUUUGGGAGUGCAGCCCAAAGUGGGUGGUAAACUCCAUCUAAAGCCAAAUAGCGGCACGAGACCGAUAGCGAACAAGUACCAUGAGGGAAAGGUGAAAAGCACUUUGGAAAGAGAGUUAAAGAGGCCGCGAAACCGUUGGGAGGGAAACGCAUGCAGCCGAACGGGCACGCGCCGGGUUCACGGGGUUGCGGAGAGUCGGGCGAGUCGGCGGCACCUUCGGGGUCGUCUUCCCGUCGAGUCUCUUCGCACGCCUGCACUCCCGGCGACGAGCCGGCCAAGUGCGGUGGGAUCCGAUCGAUGAGCGCGCGUCGGGCAGGUGGCGCAGCCGGCUUCCCUCUUCGGGGGGAGGUCGGAGGCGAACUUACAGCCGACCGUGCGGAGCGUCCGGGACCCACCGAGGAGAGCGGUGGCAUUUUCCACCCGGGCAGCGCAGGUCCGCUUUCGAGCGGCCGGGGCGCUCCCGUCCGUUCGACCGUCACGCCGCGUUACUGCACGCAGUGGCCGGUGUUGGCGCGCUAGAUCGGGCGAGAGGCCGUCUCACGCCUUGCGCUGUGGUCGCUUGGCUAGCCGUCGGCUGCAUUCGA